rnacentral:rRNA from 1 species
UACGGAGGGUGCAACCGUUGCUCGGAAUCAUUGGGCGUAAAGCGCGCGUAGGCGGCGAGGCAAGUUGGAUGUGAAAGCCCUGGGCUCAACCUAGGAUGUGCAUACAAAACUGCCUCGCUUGAAUCUCGGAGGGGGCCAGGGAAUUCCCGGUGUAGAGGUGAAAUUCGUAGAUAUCGGGAGGAACACCAGUGGCGAAGGCGCUGACCUGGACGAUGAUUGACGCUGAGGCGCGAAAGCGUGGGGAGCAAACAGG